rnacentral:lncRNA from 1 species
UUUCAGAUUCAAGAAUAAGUUUAUCAUUCAUGAAGUGGAGAGGGGAACUCCCCCUUACUCCCUUAGGGCUUACAAAUCGUCUCUGCCUCUUAUUUAAAUAGGACAGACUGUUUUCUACUAGGGUUUACAGUCAGAUACAUCACACAUGUGAAGUCAAACAAGGAGGAGCCUUAUUUUGAAUUCUAUGGACCAUAAGCUUCACAUGCUUGGCCAAUAGGAAGCUUGGGCGUUCCUGGUCUUUACACAGGCUGUCAUGAGCUGUCUUGUGGACUGAAUAAGCCAAUAGGAGUGAAGACCUUAUCCAUACACGGAC